UCCGUAGGUGAACCUGCGGAAGGAUCAUUAACACUAAUCCAAUCGCCUUAAUCUAGCCUUCAGUUGCUGAGCUGAGCUGCUUCGGCUGUUCGCCCAGCAAUAACAAAACUAAUCAAAGGAGCCUAACUAAGCUUCCAAAACAAAACCAAAUUUUCAACGAUGGAUAUCUUGGUUCCCAUAACGAUGAAGAACGCAGCGAAGUGCGAUAAGCAGUGCGAAUUGCAGAACCGUGAGUCAUCAGAUUUUUGAACGCAACUGGCGCCGACUGGCUCUCCGGCCGGCAUGCUUGUUUCAGUGUCUUUUUAUCUCAUCACCCACAUCUUAAUGCUGGAGAUACCCUUCUCUGGUUAAGUACGAAAGCACACUGACGUCUGCAGGUGAUCUCAGCUUGCUGAGGGUCACACCAUCAAUGCAGCAGUCACAUUGAUGAACAGUGUGAACUCAUUGUGAGUAGACUCAUGAGCAGUUUAUCUGCACAGUGCUUAGACACUCUAAACUUAUCUUGGUAUCUGG
rnacentral:rRNA from 1 species